rnacentral:rRNA from 1 species
UGCGCAGGCGGUUGUGUAAGACAGAUGUGAAAUCCCCGGGCUCAACCUGGGAACUGCGUUUGUGACUGCACAACUAGAGUACGGCAGAGGGAGGUGGAAUUCCGCGUGUAGCAGUGAAAUGCGUAGAGAUGCGGAGGAACACCGAUGGCGAAGGCAGCCUCCUGGGCCAGUACUGGCGCUCAUGCACGAAAGCGUGGGGAGCAAACA